rnacentral:rRNA from 1 species
AUACGUAGGGUGCGAGCGUUAUCCGGAUUCAUUGGGUUUAAAGGGUGCGCAGGCGGCCGUGCAAGUCAGCGGUGAAAGCCCGGGGCUCAACCCCGGAAGUGCCGUUGAUACUGCAUGGCUGGAAUGCGGUCGAGGCGGGCGGAAAGGGGCGUGUAGCGGGGAAAAGCGUAGAUAUGCCACAGAACGCCGAUAGCGGAGGCAGCUCGCCAGGCCUGCAUUGACGCUCGGGCACGAAAGCGUGGGGAUCGAACAGGAUUAGAUACCCUGGUAGUCCACGCCGUAAACGAUGGGCGCUCGUCGUCGGCGGCAGACAGUCGGCGGCCAAGCGAAAGCGAUAAGCGCCCCACCUGGGGAGUACGGUCGCAAGGCUGAAACUCAAAUGAAUUGGCGGGG